UUUCGACAGUGGUCUGAUAAGCCCUAAAAAACCCUAAUAACUCCCUCCCUCCUCUCUCUCCCUAUUUCUGGACCAUUGCGUUGCUCUUCCUGCUGAAGAUUAUUAUGCGGAAGCUCGAUUGAGGGUCCCGAGCCUCUCGAGCUUGAGUGUUGCUGAGCUCGGGCUCGAUGGGCUCGGUCGAUUGGGAGGGAGUAGCUCGAUCGGCUUCCAGCUCCGAGUCCAACUUGUAUAAGCGAGCUGGGAUCGGCCCUCAAUCGAGCAUUUCCUGUCGUAUGUUGGAUUGUUUCCUGUUGAUUUGGGCGGAUUUUUAAAAGGGAGCACUGGAUGGCAGAAAGAGAUGUAAGGUUGCUUUUCAAGAUUGUCUCAGCGGCCAUUUCCUAUAUCAGAAGCAAAAGUCGACUAUGAAGGGCUUGCUCACACUGCGCAGGGAAGGACUUGCUAUCCAGGAUCUUGCAAAGUGAAGACCGGACUGCCAUGAUAUUAGUGAGCAUAAGUCAGUAGUCGCUAGUGAACCAAUAAACUGGGAAUUGCAUGUAGUUUUAUUAGGGAGUGGGGUGGUUCUUGUAUUGGUUCUGUAUGGUUGCUAAUUAUUUUUAGGCUUGAAUUAGUCCGAUUUUUAACAGUGUGGGGCCUCACGUGAUACCCUGUGAUCGAUUCAGAGCAACAGAGGUCCCCAUGGUUAAAUUGUCGGUGGAAGUUGCGAAUUCGAUCGGAUCUUAAAGAGAACAACAUGCUCAUAAAAUGUCUGCCUUCGGGUUGUCAUCGGCUUUGCUUCACAAUCUGAUGUUUGCAAGCUCAAUGAAUGCUUGUGGAAUAGUUUUCUUUCCCUGA